rnacentral:rRNA from 1 species
CAGUUCCUACGGGAGGCAGCAGUGAGGAAUAUUGGUCAAUGGGCUUACGCCUGAACCAGCCAAGUCCCGUGAUGGAUUACAGCCCUAUGGGUUGUAAACCUCUUUUGUCAGGGAGCAACGCCGGCUACGUGUAGCCGGACUGAGAGUACCUGAAGAAAAAGCAUCGGCUACCUCCGUGCCAGCAGCCGCGGUAAUACGGAGGAUGCGAGCGUUAUCCGGUUUUAUUGGGUUUAAAGGGUGCGUAGGCGGAAUGCCAAGUCAGCGGU